AUGUACCAGUGGUGCGAGGAGCACUUUGUGAGGAAGACAAAGGUCAAACUAGGGAGGGUGAUCACCUUGGGGUCUAAGCUCUGUGGAAAGCAGCGCUCAAACCUCCAGAUGCUCCAUGACCAGAAAACGGAACCACUGGGGCUCUUGAAGAGAUAAAGAGACAGCUCCCCCACUCAGCGUCUCAGCACCCACUCUGUUCCCUCUGACCGUUUCGCUGAACUUCUCCCUCCAUCCACCUACCUAACCAGUCUUCCUUCCUUUCUAUCAAUCCUCACCCGUCCUUCCCAUACCCCCUCAUCCCUCGACCCCUUCUCCUCAUCCCUCGAAACUUUCCCCUCCAUCCCUUAACCAUUUUUCCUCCCUCAGUAUUCCACAUUCGUUCAUAAUGUGUAAUAAACUUUUCUUAUUCCA